rnacentral:misc_RNA from 1 species
GAACGCACAUUGCGCCCUUUGGUAUUCCAAAGGGCAUGCCUGUUCGAGCGUCAUUUGUACCCUCAAGCUUUGCUUGGUGUUGGGCGUCUUGUCUCUAGCUUUGCUGGAGACUCGCCUUAAAGUAAUUGGCAGCCGGCCUACUGGUUUCGGAGCGCAGCACAAGUCGCACUCUCUAUCAGCAAAGGUCUAGCAUCCAUUAAGCCUUUUUUUCAACUUUUGACCUCGGAUCAGGUAGGGAUACCCGCUGAACUUAAG